rnacentral:lncRNA from 1 species
CGCCGCUCGCCGGUCGCGCGCGCGCCCCGGAGGCUGCGGAGCGGCGGCGCGGCUGUCUAGGAAACCGUGGCCUCGGCGGGCCCGGGCUGGCGGCGGGAUCCCCGCAGGGGGCGGGGGCCGGGUCUCAGCCGCCACAGGGGCCGAACACAGCGCGCGGGCUUCGUGGCGUGGGUGAGGCGGUCGCGGGGCAGGGCCGGGCGCCCGCGUGUGUGCGUGUGGACAGAGGAGAGGGUCACGAAGGGGAAGUCUGAAGGUGGAGGCGCGCGGGGCGGAGAAGCAACAAGUGCCGAGGCCGAGGGGGCGCUCGGGGAAGCUGRGGGCCCAGCCGGGGCUUUCGUACAGCCGAGACUCUAGACUAGGAACCUCCUGUCGCUUUGGUGCAGCGCUUUGCGGCUUCCACAGCUCAUUCCCAGUUGUGCGGUUUUAUCCGCGCCCUGUGAAGAAGCGAACGUUCUCCUUCACCUGUCAGCAUUUCUUACCCAACUGGAGUAAAUUGUGGAAUUUCAGGGGCAGGGGAACCUUGAAGGAGAUAUCAGUAGAAGCUGCCUCAUUUGACCUGUUCCUAAGGUGGCUGUAAUUGGCAUGAUCUCCUAUACCAAGAUAACGUUUGAGCAGAAGAAGUAGAGGUGAACCAUAAAGAGAAAGUCAGUUUCCUUUUACUUUGCAAUUUAGAAAAAAUCUUUCAUCCAAGAACAGAACAGGUAAGUAAUUAUUUAUUCCUUCUUUUUAACACCUUAGGGCUGUAUACGUCACCAUAAUUUGUUAAUUAUACU